GCCAUCUGGCAUUGACAUCUGCCACCACAUUGACCUCUAGGUUGUCUUGGAUGCUCUGCCUGGCAUGCCAGGUGCUUACGUCAUUCUUCACAACGCCAAGUAGACCUUCCAACAUCUGCAGUUUCUAUGAAGAUGUCAGUCUUCUCAAAUGGAGGAACUGAGGGAAUAGGAAAAUUAAGGUUAGCUUUUAGAACUUCUAAAACCAGGUCUCAGAGCCC
rnacentral:lncRNA from 1 species